rnacentral:misc_RNA from 1 species
GAUGAAGAACGCAGCGAAAUGCGAUACGUAAUGUGAAUUGCAGAAUUCAGUGAAUCAUCGAAUCUUUGAACGCACAUUGCGCCCCUUGGUAUUCCAUGGGGCAUGCCUGUUCGAGCGUCAUUUGUACCUUCAAGCUUUGCUUGGUGUUGGGUGUUUGUCCUGAGGGACUCGCCUUAAAGUGAUUGGCAGCCAGUGUUUGGUUUUGAAGCGCAGCACAAGUCGCGAUUCAAAGCUAUACGCCCGCUUCCACAAGCCUUUUUCACUUUUGACCUCGGAUCAGGUAGGGAUACCCGCUGAACUUAAGCAUAUCAAUAAGCGGAGGA